rnacentral:lncRNA from 1 species
GGAGUACUUAAUAACUGUCAUGUAAUAUAUUUAGUUAUGACAAUAAUAAUAUACUACUUGGUGCUUUUACACAUGGGAGGAGCACAGGAUGUAGAACUCAGGGUUUCUCAGCAUCCUUUUGCAAACGGCUACAUUACUCACAACCACAAACAGCACAACCGGAUAACGCAAGUCUCUGGUUCCUGCUUGGGGAAGCAAGGCUCCCACUGCUUGUUAGCCAAGCUGACAAGUGCUCAGGCCUUUGUGUGGGCACAACGUGACAGAUGCAGGCAUUCUGUCUACAUCAGGGGCAAAGAAGUCACAGAUUGAACCUGCAAAACUGAGCAGUAUCUGCAUCACCGUUUAUUCUGUAUUCCCAUGAAGAGGUACAGUUUCAUCUCUCAGAUAUACAACAGUAGAAUUUGUGACAAAGAGAAAAGCAGUGGCCCCAGUGCUUGAUUGUGGCAUAAGAUUAAACUCUGGUGGACAUGUAUGCUUAACUACAACACCAGUGACAUGUCAGCAGUUUAUGGACUGGAAAACAGAGCGAUUAACUUCUUUUGGCAUUGCGUUUCUCACAACAAAAGAAAGUCCGAAGAAAGGGAGUUACAAAAAUGUGUUUUACACUGGAGGCCCAUUAGUUCUUUUGGUUGGAGAAACUGCUUUGCAGCCUCCACCUGCAGUAUUGUGUGUGAGAGAUUUGUUUUAUGCUCUGUUAAUCACAACAAACAGACCUCCCGAGUAGCAAUGUGCAUUCUUAUAUAAAAGAUAAUUUGGGGGCUGAGAAGACUAGAAACUCAAAUUUGGUCAUAAUUAUUGGAAGGUCACCUAGGAAUUCUGGAGCAGUUUGUUUAUCCUGAUUCCAGCCUGCUAGGUCCAAGAAAAUACACUUAAUUCAAUCCAGGUGACUCUCCAUUAAAUAUAAUCUUGUCCUAAUUGGUGCCACCUUGACCUCUACUUGUGAAGUCUGUUUUGUGGGCUGCAAGUCUAGCUUUAAGUGCUCAAACACACAUUUUUCCAUCUGAUUCUCCAUUAUUUCAUUACGACAACAACACACUUCAUAGCAGGCACUCCACGUGUGUGUGAAAUGUAAAGAAGAUUUAGUAACAAGACAGUGCCUAAGCAGGAUGGCAGUGGCUUCCUUGGACUGCUGGCCACAAUGGGCAUGUUAU